AACGACAAGAUGGCAGUUAAUGCGUGGUUAAAGCGAAAAAUACAAUAUUUAUCACUUUUUCGCGAUCCUUAACUGGACAAAAGCCGGCUGACUUGCUGUACUAGUAGGUGACACAAGUGAGUGUCUAUUUUUCAAGUAAAGGUAAUAUUGAUGUCCAAGAUUAAAGGUAGCGUUAAGUGGUUUAAUGAGUCCAAAGGAUUUGGUUUCAUUACCCCGGAAGAUGGUAGCAAAGACGUAUUCGUACACUUCUCUGCCAUCCAGAGCAACGGUUUCAAAACUCUGGCUGAAGGUCAGCGCGUAGAGUUCGAAAUCACCAACGGCGCCAAAGGCCCUUCUGCUGCUAACGUUACCGCUCUGUAAGUUAUCAGUCAGAUUCCGAAAACCCGCCUCCGGCGGGUUUUUUUAU
rnacentral:other from 1 species